GGCUGGUCCUGAACUCCUGGGUUCAACUAAUUCUCCUGCCUCAGCCUCUCAAAGUGCUGGGAUUACAGGCAUGAGACACCACGCCAGGCUGGUGGUGAGUUUUAAAAUUUUCCAGUGCCUCAGUGUUUCUACCUGUAGAAUGCCAAAAAGUAGAUGGCAUCUUUGCGAGGAUGAAGCCGACUAGCUUUUUUUAAUUUUUUUUUGAGACAGAAUUUCUCUCUUGUCACCCAGGCUGGAGUGCAAUGGUGUGAUCUUGGCUCACUGCAACCUCUGCCUCCUGGAUUCAAGUGAUUCUCCUCUCUCAGCCUCCAAGUAGCUGGGAUUACAAAGCCAGCUAGCUUUAAGAUACAGUGUUGGGCAUCACAUUUUGGCACGGAGCAGGCACUCUUUUCUUUGCCCUCAGGUGGGACUUAGCCACCACAAGCCUUCCCUGGUGUGUGCAGUGGGUGAUGAAUGCUUGCCUGCUCAGCACCCACUACAUGGUGGGCUGGGUCACAUUACUCUGACUCCCCCUUGAGCUUCAGUCCGUGCCUGGUUCAAGAUGUAUUGACUCAACUCGAGGAUCCAGAGGUGGGAUGUGGCUCUGGCCUGGCCAGAGGACCGAAGAUGCUGCAUGCCAUGGCUACAGCAACUGGUUCAGCUUUGGGCUCAUGUCCUAGUCAGAGCCAAUGAGAUGUAAUCUUGGGAUAUCUGCUGGGCUGUUGGGAAGGGGACAGGCUGCCCUGCUCAUCCCCAUUCCUGAUGCUGAGGGAUCUGAGAAAAUCACUUGUAAAAUUCGGGGGUGUUUGGAAGAUGGGGAGACUGAUGUCUCCUUCUCUCUACAGACAUCUGAUCAGCUACAGAGCUUGACUGACCUACCCAGAGGCAGAAUGAUAUGGUGGUUAAAAGUGUGCCCUGGGCCGAGAUCUUGCCACUGCACUCCAGCCUGGGUGACAGAGUGAGACUCCAUCUCAAAAGAAAAAAAAAAGUGUGCUCUGGGCUGGUCGCAGGAGUUUAUGACUGUAAUCCCAGCAGUUUGGGAGGCUGAGGCAGGAGGAUCGCUUGAAGUCAGGAGUUUGAGAUCAGACCCUAUCUCUAGAAAAAUGUUUUAAAAAUUAGCUGGGUUGGUGGUGAAUGCCUGUAGUCCCAGCUACUCAGGAGGCUGAGGCGGGAAGAUUGCUGGAGCCCGGGAGUUCAAGGCUGCAGUGAGCCAUGAUCAGGCCACUGCACUCCAGUUUGAGGGACAGAGAGAGACCCCAUCUCCCUAAAGCACAAAAAAGUGUGCUCUGGUGCCACACUGCCUGGUUAGAUCCUUUGUCCACCACUUAGAUGCAUGUUAUAUAAAUGCUCUCCUCAGUUUCCUCAUCUGUAACUUGGGGAUGAUAAUGCUGCCCCAUUAAGUGGUUAUGGGGACUAAAUUCAUGUGGGCGCAUUGGUAAGUAUUCAACAAGCUUGAUUUUUUCCUGGAGAGGGAGAAAGAGCAUACAGUGAAGUGGCAUGCUCAGGUGCAUUGGGGCAAGGAUUAUUUCCUCUGGCUUCUGCCUCCUGGGAGGUACUAAGGAUGGAUCUGAAAUGUGUCUGCAGACCCCAGAGUUGGGGACUGCAGAGGGAAAUUGAGAUCAGGGACCCCAGUCUGGCAGAAAUGGGUGCAGCAUGGGGCAUUGGGUUCCUUCCAUCAGAGGCAUGGGGUGUGUUGCAGACAGUCAUGAGAUGUGGCUGAAUCUUGCAAGGGAGCUGCAGUCCUAGGGUUGCUGCUUGAGACAAUGACCGCUGUCAGUGGAACCUGGUGACCUUCACCCUUCUCUGUCAGGCUGCAGACAGCAAGAGAUGGCAGGAGGUUACACCCAACAGGAAAAGGGCCAUUGCUAUCCCACAGGUUGCCAUAGGAGGAGAUGACAUCUCUUCCCUCUCCUCCUCCAGCAGUGUCAGCUGGGGAAGAGGUGGGUGGGGGUGCACAAAAGAGUAGACCACAGACCAUGCUCCUUCUCCUCCAGUCUGCUGGGGCCCCAAGAGAGUCUGCAGCCCUUGGCCAGGGACCGGCUGAUACAGGAGAACAAAAGAUCUCAGUCUGGGAUAACAUGGUGGUGCAGCUGAUCCUCUGGAACUCCCUGUGAGAUCAGACUGGAGCCAGUCUCCAGCUGAGACCACAUCUCACUUAGCUCCUUCCCUGCCAUAUCCUGUUUUCCUUACUCCUAUCUACUGAGAGUCCUGAAUGAAUUACAUGCACUCAAUCCCUGCCUCAGGCUCUGCUUUUAGGGAACUUGACCUAAGACAGAUAUCUUAGUACUAAAUACUUUGCAAGGCCUCAGAAGCUCUGCUAUCCACAGGCAGGUGAGAUAUUACCUUCCCUACCACCUGGCAGUCAUAGUCUAUGAUGCGAUUCAGCUUUGUGGAAGUGCUUCUGUAAAGAACUUCCCCCAACUUAAGAUGAUCUUAAUUUGCUUACUUGUUUACUGUCCAUUUAGCUGCUGUAAAAUGUGAGCUCCAAAUCAGUGGUCAUGUCUGGUUAGUUACCCAUUUCCUGGGACCUAGAACGGGCCUAGCUCAGAGCAUGUGCUCACUAUUGAUGGAAUGCAUGUUGAAAGAACGCAUGAAUCUCAUCUCCUUUUGUGGGUGAAAAACUCAUCCUAUUCUCACUCCUGAUUAACUUUCCUUCUUUUUUUUUUUUUUUUUUUUUUUCAAAACGGAGCCAUGAUCUGUCACCCAGGCUGGAGUGCAAUGGUGUGAUCUCAUCUCGCUGCAACCUCUGCCUUCUGGAUUAAAGCAAUUCUCCUGCCUCAGCCUCCCGGGUAUCUGGGAUUACAGUUGCACGCCACCACACCUGGCUAAUUUUUUGUAUUUUUAAUAGAGACAGGGUUUCACCAUGUUGGCCAGGCUUGUCUUGAACUCCUGACGUCGUGAUCUGCCUGCUUUGGCCUCCCAAAGUCCUGGGAUUACAGGCAUGAGCCACCGUACCCAGCCACUCUUGAUUAACUUAAUGGAAAUAUUUACAGAGAUUCUUUCUCUUCUGGGUUCUAGCGUCUUAUCUGUAACCUCUGCAGGUGCAGGAAUGAGAGGCAGCAGCCGGGGAAGCCAGGGUCUCCGGAAGUCCUUGUCUCUGGGCGGUGAUCCAGAGAGAGAGAGAGAACACGAUUGUCUCAGCAAUGGGUCUUCUUCUGAGUCUUGAAGGAGCACUUCCAGAGCCUCUCAGUGUUAAACAUCGUGUUGUGAAUGACUCCGUGAGCUCUGACCCAGUGACCUUGGGGAUAAAGGAGGGGAGGUGUAUCCAGCAGCUCAAGAGAGACAUCGACCAGCGAGAAGGGGCCAUGAUGAUGGUGGUGGUUUUGUGAAAACGAAAAGGGGGAUAUGUAGGGAAAAGAAAGAGAGAUCAGACUGUUACUGUGUCUACACAGAAAGGGAAGACAUAAGAGACUCCAUUUUGAAAAAGACCUGUACUUUAAACAAUUGCUUUGCUGAGAUGUUGUUAAUCUGUAGCUUUGCCCCGGCCACCUUGCCCCCAACCACUUUGACCCAACCUGGAGCUCACAAAAACAUGUGUUGUAUGAAAUCAAGGUUUAAGGGAUGUAGGGCUGUGCAGGAUGUGCCUUGUUAACAAAAUGUUUGCAAGCAGUAUACUUGGUAAAAGUCAUCGCCAUUCUCUAGUCUCAAUAAACCAGGGGUACAAUGCACUGUGGAAAGCCGCAGGGACCUCAGCCCUUGAAAGCUGGGUAUUGUCCAAGGUUUCUCCCCAUGUGAUAGUCUGAAAUAUGGCCUCGUGGGAUGAGAAAGACCUGACGGUCCCCCAGCCCGACAACCAUAAAGGGUCUGUGCUGAGGUGGAUUAGUCAAAGAGGAAAGCCUCUUGCAGUUGAGAUAGAGGAAAGCCACUGUCUCCUGCCUGUCUCUGGGAACUGAAUGUCUUGGUAUAAAACCCGAUUGUACAUUUGUUCAAUUCUGAGAUGGGAGAAAAACCGCCCUAUGGUGGGAGGCGAGACAUGUUUACAGCAAUGCUUCCUUGUUAUUCUUUACUCCACUGAGAUGUUUGGGUGGAGAGAAACAUAAAUCUGGCUUAUGUACACGUCCAGUCAUAGUACCUUCCCUUGAACUUCAUUAUGACAUAGAUUCUAUUGCUCACAUGUUUGUUGCUGACCUUCUCCUUAUUAUCACCCUGCCCUCCUACUACAUUCCUUUUUGCUGAAAUAAUGAAGAUAAUAAUCAAUAAAAACUGAGGGAACUCAGAGGCCGUUGCCAGUGCAGAUCCUUUGUAUGUUGAGCGCCGAUCCCCUGGGCCCACUGUUGUUUCUCUACACUUUGUCUCUG
rnacentral:lncRNA from 1 species